rnacentral:rRNA from 1 species
AUAAUACUCCAUAGAUUAAGACACUGGAAUGUCUUUAGUCGAAAGUUCUGGCGCCUUAGGAUGGAUCUGCGGUCGAUUAGGUUGUUGUUGGGGUAACGGCCCAACAAGCCUGUAAUCGAUACGGGUUGUGGGAGCAAGAGCCCGGAGAUGGAAUCUGAGACACGAUUCCAGGCCCUACGGGGCGCAGCAGGCGCGAAAACUUUACAACGCAGGAAACUGUGAUAAGGGAACUCCGAGUGCCCGUAUACGCGGGCUGUCCAGGUGUUUAAAAAUCAUCUGAAGAAAGGGCCGGGCAAGACCGGUGCCAGCCGCCGCGGUAAUACCGGCGGCUCGAGUGGUGGCCACUAUUAUUGGGCUUAAAGCGUCCGUAGCUGGACCGAUAAGUCUCUUGGGAAAUCCGCCGGCUCAACCGGCGGGCGUCUAAGGGAUACUGUUAGUCUAAGGACCGGGAGAGGUGAGAGGUACUCCGGGGGUAGGAGUGAAAUCCUGUAAUCCCCGGGGGACCACCGAUGGCGAAGGCAUCUCACCAGAACGGCUCCGACAGUGAGGGACGAAAGCUGGGGGAGCGAACCGGAUUAAAUACCCGGGUAGUCCCAGCCGUAAACUAUGCGCGUUAGGUGU